ensembl:lncRNA
UUUUGUUUUACCUUUCUCGGAAAGACGUUGUUGAUGAGAAACUUCCUGAACGCCAGAGCUAUCAAGACUCUUGUUUUCCAGUUUCUUUGUUCUUCUUUCCUGUUCCUAUCUCGUCAGGGAGUCAUUCUUUGCGGUGAAUGACAGGAAAGGGCCUGGUGAAUUCUCCUGGAGAAUCGACAUGUAGUCAAAUGAUAGUGAUCCACAUCCAGGGGCCAGACCUAUUCAUCUGUUCUAACGUGUGGUGGAGGUGGAGUGGGGAUGCUGCUGUUGAGAAAGCUCUGAAAACAUCUCAGCAGUCAGAGACUGACUUCUUAUCAGUGAGAAGAGUACCUUUUCAUAUGCCAACACAUGUACUACUUACUUUUUUAUUUUUUACAUAGCCCUCCCUCCCUCCACACACACACACACACACACACACACAAUUUAUGUGUUGAAACAAACAGGAAUAAAAGGUGACAAUCUGUACUUUUGCCUCAUUAAUCUUUCAAUCAUAUUUUCAUAGUGUGCGCAUUGAGAGUGCCACAAAAUAACCAUUCUGACUUUAUUGUCCCAAUAUAUAUGGAGGGCACUGUUUGAACAAAAUGUGCUGUUUUUAG